rnacentral:rRNA from 1 species
AGAGUUUGAUCAUGGCUCAGAUUGAACGCUGGCGGCAUGCCUUACACAUGCAAGUCGAACGGCAGCACGGGUGCUUGCACCUGGUGGCGAGUGGCGAACGGGUGAGUAAUAUAUCGGAACGUACCCUAGAGUGGGGGAUAACGUAGCGAAAGUUACGCUAAUACCGCAUACGAUCUACGGAUGAAAGUGGGGGAUCGCAAGACCUCAUGCUCAUGGAGCGGCCGAUAUCUGAUUAGCUAGUUGGUGGGGUAAAAGCCUACCAAGGCGACGAUCAGUAGCUGGUCUGAGAGGACGACCAGCCACACUGGAACUGAGACACGGUCCAGACUCCUACGGGAGGCAGCAGUGGGGAAUUUUGGACAAUGGGGGCAACCCUGAUCCAGCAAUGCCGCGUGAGUGAAGAAGGCCUUCGGGUUGUAAAGCUCUUUUGUCAGGGAAGAAACGGGAUUUUCUAAUACAAAGUCCUAAUGACGGUACCUGAAGAAUAAGCACCGGCUAACUACGUGCCAGCAGCCGCGGUAAUACGUAGGGUGCAAGCGUUAAUCGGAAUUACUGGGCGUAAAGCGUGCGCAGGCGGUUGUGCAAGACAGAUGUGAAAUCCCCGGGCUCAACCUGGGAAUUGCAUUUGUGACUGCACGGCUAGAGUGUGUCAGAGGGGGGUAGAAUUCCACGUGUAGCAGUGAAAUGCGUAGAGAUGUGGAGGAAUACCGAUGGCGAAGGCAGCCCCCUGGGAUAACACUGACGCUCAUGCACGAAAGCGUGGGGAGCAAACAGGAUUAGAUACCCUGGUAGUCCACGCCCUAAACGAUGUCUACUAGUUGUCGGGUCUUAAUUGACUUGGUAACGCAGCUAACGCGUGAAGUAGACCGCCUGGGGAGUACGGUCGCAAGAUUAAAACUCAAAGGAAUUGACGGGGACCCGCACAAGCGGUGGAUGAUGUGGAUUAAUUCGAUGCAACGCGAAAAACCUUACCUACCCUUGACAUGUACGGAACUUACCAGAGAUGGUUUGGUGCUCGAAAGAGAACCGUAACACAGGUGCUGCAUGGCUAUCGUCAGCUCGUGUCGUGAGAUGUUGGGUUAAGUCCCGCAACGAGCGCAACCCUUGUCAUUAGUUGCUACGAAAGGGCACUCUAAUGAGACUGCCGGUGACAAACCGGAGGAAGGUGGGGAUGACGUCAAGUCCUCAUGGCCCUUAUGGGUAGGGCUUCACACGUCAUACAAUGGUACAUACAGAGGGCCGCCAACCCGCGAGGGGGAGCUAAUCCCAGAAAGUGUAUCGUAGUCCGGAUUGUAGUCUGCAACUCGACUACAUGAAGUUGGAAUCGCUAGUAAUCGCGGAUCAGCAUGUCGCGGUGAAUACGUUCCCGGGUCUUGUACACACCGCCCGUCACACCAUGGGAGCGGGUUUCACCAGAAGUAGGUAGCCUAACCGCAAGGAGGGCGCUUACCACGGUGGGAUUCGUGACUGGGGUGAAGUCGUAACAAGGUA